rnacentral:lncRNA from 1 species
CUACGAUAGACUCAUUCUAGCCCACCAGCCUACUCUUCAUGAAAGGAGACCAGGCAAAGUCUGUCAUUCAAGUGUUGUUCCAACACUCAACUUGUAACAUGGUAUACUCUCUGAUUCUGGUGCCAACAACGAAAUGUCACUGUGUUUGUUCAAGGUUUUGUGACUUGGCUGGGUAUGAGGCACAAGGGAUCUUUGGCAACAGAAGGCUGGUGGGAAGGAAAACGGAAGCCAGCUCUUCAGGAACACCCACCAGUGGAAUGGAAGAAUUGAUGGCUGGAUCUGCUGUACCAUUUUGUAACCAGGAGAGAAAGGUCAGGAGAAUCACAGAUGCAUUGACCAUAACAUCACUGACUUGGAGAACAAAGGCCAGCAAUUAACUUCUUGUUAAGUGAGAAAAAUAAUCCUCUGUCUUUGGAAUGACUGUGGGUGGUUUUCCUAUUAUUUGUGGGUGAAUGCAAGUCUAACCAAUACACAAGUACUUCCUCAUCACCACACCAUAUCCUCCUUUAAAGACAGAAGCCAGAGCUU